GGGCUUCUAAGCAUACGUCAACACCACCGCCCAAAAGAAUUAUUAUUAUUUCUGGUCUCAUGUUUCAGUAUAUAUAUCUAUGGUUGGUUCGGCGACGUUUUCAAAAUAAAAGCACGACCGUCAAAAAGACAUGGAACCUCCUGAAGCUGACGGACUCCUGUACAUAAUGUGCGCAAAGCCAAUACACGAAGACCAUGGACCAAAGCAGAGGAAAAUGCUGUGCUGAAACAUUUCAAGUCCCACGUAAUUAAAGGCCAUUUGGCAUCUAAGAAGGAGUGUGUGGUCUGCAAAGAAUGUGAGCCAGCCCUGAAAAACAGAACGUGGGGGGGGGCUCUAUAAACAGUAAACUGUGUGUGACUUACUGAGGGAGGAUGUUACACCAUUGGUUGGUCCAGUGUUGAUCUGUCAUUGAUUGGUUGUUGUUCUUUCAAAAUAAACACAAACGGUCCUCAACUGUCCAAAGGAGG